UACAGAGGUCCCGAGCGUUGUUCGGAUUCACUGGGCGUAAAGGGCGCGUAGGCGGCGCGGUAAGUCACUUGUGAAAUCUCUGAGCUUAACUCAGAACGGCCAAGUGAUACUGCAGUGCUAGAGUGUGGAAGGGGCAAUCGGAAUUCUUGGUGUAGCGGUGAAAUGCGUAGAUAUCAAGAGGAACACCUGAGGUGAAGACGGGUUGCUGGGCCAACACUGACGCUGAGGCGCGAAAGCCAGGGGAGCAAACGGG
rnacentral:rRNA from 1 species